GACGAACGCUGGCGGCGUGCUUAACACAUGCAAGUCGAACGAAGUGGCGAACGGGUGAGUAACGCGUAAUCAACCUGCCCUUCAGAGGGGGACAACAGUUGGAAACGACUGCUAAUACCGCAUACUGAAGGAGGGGAUUGCGUCUGAUUAGCUAGUUGGGGGGGUAACGGCCCACCAGGGCGAGGAUCAGGAGCCGGUCUGGGAGGAUGAACCGCCACAUUGGGACUGAGACACGGGCCAGACGCCUACGGGAGGCAGCAGUGGGGAAUCUUUCGCAAUGGACGAAAGUCUGACGGAGCAACGCCGCGUGAGUGAUGACGGCCUUCGGGGUGUAAAGCUCUGUUAAUCGGGACGCGGUACCGGAAUAGAAAGCCACGGCUAACUACGUGCCAGCAGCCGCGGUAAUUC
rnacentral:rRNA from 1 species